rnacentral:lncRNA from 1 species
CUCAAGGCUGACCCUGCAGAGCAUAAACCCCAAUCCCUCACUUAUGAACCUUCGUUGACUCUUUAAUUUAGUUGUUGGUGCGCAUGACAUUCCUCGAAUCCAAGAUCUCACCCUUUAACAAUUCUUCCGUAUGAUAAGUUGUCACCGAUUGACCUGCAAAAUUAAGAUUGAUGCUCUACAUGCCCAGCUUGGAACCACAGAACCGGUAGUUCUUACAGGCGGGUUGUUGCAAUUUAUUUCUUAGCAGUUCUUAUUAUUUAUGUUUUAAUGACUGUUAAACUCCUAUCUCUAUAUAUAUAUUUAUACUGUCAACCGAU